UACGGGGGGGGCAAGCGUUGUUCGGAAUUACUGGGCGUAAAGGGCCCGUAGGCGGCCAACUAAGUCAGACGUGAAAUCCCUCGGCUUAACCGGGGAACUGCGUCUGAUACUGGAUGGCUUGAGUUCGGGAGAGGGAUGCGGAAUUCCAGGUGUAGCGGUGAAAUGCGUAGAUAUCUGGAGGAACACCGGUGGCGAAGGCGGCAUCCUGGACCGACACUGACGCUGAGGAGCGAAAGCCAGGGGAGCAAACGGG
rnacentral:rRNA from 1 species